GACAGAGGGUGCAAACGUUGUUCGGAAUUACUGGGCGUAAAGCGCGCGUAGGCGGAUCUGCAAGUCGGGGGUGAAAUCCCGAGGCUCAACCUCGGAACUGCCUUUGAUACUGAGAAGCUUGAGUCCGGGAGAGGUGAGUGGAACUGCGAGUGUAGAGGUGAAAUUCGUAGAUAUUCGCAAGAACACCAGUGGCGAAGGCGGCUCACUGGCCCGGUACUGACGCUGAGGUGCGAAAGCGUGGGGAGCAAACAGG
rnacentral:rRNA from 1 species